AAGGUUACUUUCCAAAAUGUUACUGUGUUGAGGAUUUCCAUAGAUACAAGCCUCCAUCACCAUCUCCAUAGAUCCAAGCCUCAAGAUACAUUUUUCUUGGUUCAUUUGCUUGGGUCCACCUGUCAACAAUGAGCACCUAGAGCCCAUUUCUCUAUAGAAUUAAAGUCUGGUCUCUGUCCUGAACAAACUACUUACACAGACACAUCUUCUCAUGCAGCAGAGUGUCAGAGACAGUUGGUACCAACGUGCUAAAGCAUCACAUCCCUGGAUUUGCAAAAUGAAUAAAGCUACCUAUCCAUCUCCUCUAAGUUUCUAAUCUGCUCAGGAGCAGAGGUGUCCAAAGGGAUCCAGAGAGACAGGUUUUGGAGAUCUCUGGAUCAAUUAUUGGAAGUUCACAAGGAAGAUAUAUCAAAAGAUCCCAGUCAAAUGCCAAAUACUAGAGAAGUUUGGUUAAUCAUCCUUGUCAUGGAGCCCAAUUCUGAUGUCUGUACUAAAUGCUACUUGCUGUGAAUAGGGGCAAUCUAAUCCAGUUUUUGGUCCUUCAUAACAAUAUUAACUAGCAUUGGGCCAACAGCUGAUCUCUUCAGGAACCCACCAGACAUGCACCCAAUCUAUUAUUGUGUUUGAUACAAAUAUAAAGGCAGGCAGGACUACAUUGUAGAACUUCAGGGACAACAUUUGACCUCAGGCUAUGUUUCAGCUAUUCCUGAGAUACUUCAAAGCACCUUUUUCCUGUAAAGGCGUGCAGUGAAUAUUUGGUAUGCAAAAAUGAUCAAUGCACUUAAAACAACCUGUUCCUCAGGCAAUUAUUUUACUGUGUAACUGGAAAAUAAAAAAAGAC
rnacentral:lncRNA from 1 species